AUACGGAGGAUGCGAGCGUUAUCCGGAUUUAUUGGGUUUAAAGGGAGCGUAGGUGGGAUAUUAAGUCAGCUGUGAAAGUUUGGGGCUCAACCUUAAAAUUGCAGUUGAUACUGGUUUCCUUGAGUACGGUAUAGGUGGGCGGAAUUCGUGGUGUAGCGGUGAAAUGCUUAGAUAUCACGAAGAACUCCGAUCGCGAAGGCAGCUCACCGGGCCGGAACUGACACUGAUGCUCGAAAGUGCGGGUAUCAAACAGGAUUAGAUACCCUGGUAGUCCGCACAGUAAACGAUGAAUACUCGCUGUUUGCGAUACACUGUAAGCGGCCAAGCGAAAGCGUUAAGUAUUCCACCUGGGGAGUACGCCGGCAACGGUGAAACUUAAAGGAAUUGGCGGGG
rnacentral:rRNA from 1 species